ACGCUCGACACCUACGGGAGACAGCAGUGGGGAAUAUUGCACAAUGGGGGAAACCCUGAUGCAGCGACGCCGCGUGAGCGAAGAAGUAUUUCGGUAUGUAAAGCUCUAUCAGCAGGGAAGAAAAUGACGGUACCUGACUAAGAAGCCCCGGCUAACUACGUACCAGCAGCCGCGGUAAUCUGAGCGGGCUGGCAAGGC
rnacentral:rRNA from 1 species